rnacentral:misc_RNA from 1 species
UUGAAUAAAUCUGACUUGGUUGUUGCUGGUCUUUUCGGAGACAGGUGCACGCCUUGUCAUCUUUAUAUUUCCACCUGUGCACCUUUUGUAGAUUUGAAGGCACUUUUUUCGGGGUAACUCGGUCAUGAGGAAAUGCUUCCAAUGGGCUUUCUUUGAAUGUCUUCAACAUCUAUGUUUCAUAUACCCAUAUAAAUGUAAUAGAAUGUCAUUAUCAGACUUAUGUCUUAUA